AGUCCCUUUCAGUCGAAUGCAAAUAAGUCGACAAGCCAGAAUAACUUCCCCACCAAUCUCCGUGUAACCCCGCGCCGCCUCAACACACGCUCAGUCGCUUUUUCUGCUCGAGCACACAUUGCGGAGGGCCUCCUCAUUCUGUCAGUGUGAAUCAGGCUUAUCAACGGCAGGGAAGAGGAGUCACUGACGGGGAGAAUGAAGAAAGGUUCAGGAGGAGCGUGAUGAGUCUCACUACAGCACAACUGAUACCCUUCAAAAAAACCUUGGCAGUCACAUCUUUCGGCUUAAGUCCCCUCCUGGCGGGCACCAAGUGCUGUAAUUGUAUCUCUCUAAUUAUUUUCUUCUUUGUGGGGAAAAAACAUGUUCCAGCGAGUUCUUCAGUGAGUUUGCAAUUCCCAUAAUAUAAGGCUCCUCCGGCUCUCUUUACUGAGAACUUUAAUCCCAUUGUUCAGCUGGCAGAUCUGUUGCAGCACAUGUGUCCUUUGUACUGAAGAAUCAGUGUAUUUCUUUCUUUUCUUGUCUGUGGAAGGCACAGGCAUCACAUGAUUGACUGUAAGAAGCUUCAGCACUGAGUGUCUACAUAAUGAUUAACAAUGCCUCAAAACUACGUUAGAAAUGGCAGAGACGUUUGUGACAUUGUGAUACGUCAUUUUUGGGAAUGCGUUUACAGGCAGGAUAUCUGCUGUCUGCAGCGUUGAAGCCCCGCUGUUGUUAAUUUUUCCUGUCCUUUUGUCAGGCGUCAUUCGUCACAGUGUAAUUUAACGUGAAUAUAUUAUAUAUUUUAUGCCUGCCAACAGGGUUUUCUGUCUCCUGUCUGGAAGCAGCUGAAAAUAACUGCAUAGCCAUCUAAUGCAAGAACACGAUGAUAGGGGCAUAUUAAGAGCAUUCAUAACUAAUCAAUGCAAGCAAAACUGUUAACCGCUGCGAUCGCAGGUGAGACGCGAUGUCACCCUCCAGUCACGGCUGGUGACACGUUUUCACCAAGUGCAGCGGAAGCUGAUGACUUCUACAGCUGCAGCGCAGUGUGACACUGUUCACCUGAACACCUGAAAUACAACCAUGAAUUCUUGUUUUGUGUUUGCACAGACACAUGUAUAUGUUGCACACGUCAUGUACACACAAGGACAGUUACUGUGUAUAAUAUGUUUAUCUUUAUUCUAGUUAUUUAUUAUAUAUUUU